rnacentral:lncRNA from 1 species
GAAUGGAUAAUGGAAUGGGAAUGAAUUGGAAUGGUAAUUGGAAUGGCCCACUCCCCCAAGACCUUUGGUUUAUUUGUGGAUUGGGAAAUGGAAUGAGUUAUUCACAUUUUAUUGUUUGGUUCGUAUAAACUAAAAAAAUUAUAGAAUACUAUAAUACUAAUUUUACUUUCAAAUAUAAAUUUAUAUUAUUUAAAAUUUAUAAAAAAUAUANAAUUUUACUUUCAAAUAUAAAUUUAUAUUAUUUAAAAUUUAUAAAAAAUAUAAUACUAUUCUCUAAUAAGUUUUCUAAAAAAAAUAUCAAAUUUAUUUUUAAAAACUUUUAUUGAUGUGGAUAAGGGAUAGGGUUUUGAGAGAGGAUAUGUUUUUUUUUUUUUAUGAGAAAUGGGUGAAGAGAAGGAGGGUGAGAUGGUCACAUGGGCUUCGGGAACUUAGUGGGCUUCCGGAAUGAAAUCUCAAUCCGGGCUAGAAGACCGGAAUCAAGUUGAAGGCUAAUGGGCCAUUCCCAUUCCAGUCCGGAAUAGGAAUCCCAAACCGAUUCAUACGAACCAAACAAAAUUAACCGGAUUUGAUCAAACCGAUUCCCAUUCCAUAUCCAAAAUGGAUGAACCAAACAAGCCCUUAGCGUUAGAUACGCUUUAGUAUAUACCAAAC